AACGAACGCUGGCGGCAGGCUUAACACAUGCAAGUCGAACGGGCGUAGCAAUACGUCAGUGGCGGACGGGUGAGUAACACGUGGGAAUAUGCCUUUCGGUUCGGAACAACUCGGGGAAACUCGUGCUAAUUCCGGAUACGCCCUUACGGGGAAAGGAUUUAUCGCCGAAGGAUUAGCCCGCGUUGGAUUAGCUAGUUGGUGAGGUAAUGGCCCACCAAGGCGACGAUCCAUAGCUGGUUUGAGAGAACGACCAGCCACACUGGGACUGAGACACGGCCCAGACUCCUACGGGAGGCAGCAGUGGGGAAUCUUGGACAAUGGAGGAAACUCUGAUCCAGCCAUGCCGCGUGAGUGAUGAAGGCCUUCGGUUGUUAAAC
rnacentral:rRNA from 1 species